UACAUAGGUCCCAAGCGUUGUUCGGAUUCAUUGGGCGUAAAGGGUGCGUAGGCGGCGCGGUAAGUCGGGUGUGAAAUCUCGGGGCUUAACUCCGAAACUGCAUUCGAUACUGCCGUGCUUGAGGACUGGAGAGGAGACUGGAAUUUACGGUGUAGCGGUGAAAUGCGUAGAUAUCGUAAGGAAGACCAGUGGCGAAGGCGGGUCUCUGGACAGUUCCUGACGCUGAGGCGCGAAGGCCAGGGGAGCAAACGGG
rnacentral:rRNA from 1 species